GGGCACAUGGUGUAGUUGGUUUAUCACGCCCGCUUAGCAUGAAUAUCUGAUGCGGGAGGUGUUGGGUUCAAUUCCCAAUGUGUCCA